GUCAGCACCCCUGGAAUAAAACCUGGAUUGUACUGCAGUCGUGGUCCGAGUCUCAUUUGCCCUGUGGGUAGCAGCCUCUCUUUCUACGCUCCGCGGAUCCUCGCUCCCAGAAGGCAAAAGCCUUAGGCGCUCUCCCAACAAAAUCCUCGAUAGGGAGAGUGUCCCCAUGCUGCCGGCAGUGCUGGCCGCAGCUAGCUGGGACACAUGUAUCUUCGAGGCCUGCUGCCGCUGCAACAGAUGUCAGCAAAGGUCCAUAAACUGCCAUCUUUCCUGAGGACAGCAACAGGCAACCUCCAAAUGGCCAGCAUCUGUAACAGAGCACAUUAAGAAUGGAAAACAACCCAUCUUUUCCUCAUGCUUCAAAACCCCUUCUUUAAUAUUUCCUGUCAGAAGAUCAAGAUUUGUUUAACACUCUGGGGUUAAGCAAGGAAGAACAGGACAGUUAUCAUGGUGUGUUAAAGAAAUUUGAACUGUAUGAUGACCUUAUGAAGAAUGGAACUUUAAAUAUAUUAUCAUAAAAGAAGUGAAAAAAUAGGGAAACUUCUGGACUUUGUAAGGUUGUUCAGUGCCCAAAAUAUCUUUUACAUUGCUGUGCACGCUGCAGUCACAAUUCUGCAGCCUGCCUUUCCCUGCCAGCUCUGUACCCUCUCACUCAGGCUAAAAAAGCAGCAUUUUCCAGAUUCUCCAGGGCUGGAUUUUUCCCUUUUUGUUCUGAUAGUAUUGCUCUCAUCUUGCUAUUCCCACAGCUUUGCAUCUCCAAACUCUGCUAAGUGUCACUACAGAUUCUUCUUUUGGUUGGUGGCAUGAAAAUCCCACCUUCUUUCCCUCCUGUCUCCUGCCCUUCGUUGUAGUGUUUGAUUUAUGUUGAGAGAGACAAUAAUGCCAUUCAGAGGGACCUUAACUGACUUUAGAGGUGGGCUUAUUCCAAAUUCAUGAAGUUUAACAAAGCAAUGUGCAAGGUUCUACACCUGGUUCAUGGCAAUCCCAGGCACACCUACAGGCUGGACAGAGAAGGGAUUGAGAGCAAUUCUGUGGAGAAAGACUUAGGGUUGGUGAUUGAUUAAAAACUCACCAUAAACUGGCAGUGUGAACCCACAGCCCAGAAAGACAAUGAAAUCCUUAAAUCCUGGGCUGCAUCAAAACCAGCGUGGCCAGUGGCUCAAAGGAGGUGAUUCUCCCCCUCUGCUCUGCUCUUGUGAGACUCCCCCCAGAGCACUGCAUCCUGCUCCAGUACCACCAACGCAGGAAGGACAUGGAACUGGUGGAGCAGGUCCAAGGAAAGACCACAAAGUGGGUAAGAGAGCUGGAGCACCUCCCCUGUUGAAGACAGGCUGAGGAAGUCGGGGCUGUUCAGCCUGGAGACAAGAAGGUUGUGUGGAGACCUCAUUGCAGCCUUCCAGCAUCUGAAGGGGGCCUGCAGGGAAGCCCGGGAGGGACUCUGUUGGGAACUGUACUGAUAGGACAAGGAGUAGUGGCUGCAAAUAGAAAGAGGAGAAAUUUAGGUUAGAUAUCAGGAAGAAAUUCUUUAAUGUGAGAGUGGUGAGACACUGGAGCAGGGUGCCCAGGGAGGUUGUGGAUGCCCCAACCCUGGCAGUGAUCAGAAUCAAGUUGGAUAAGGCCUUGAGCAGCCUGGUCCAGUGGGAGGUGUGCCUGCCCGCAGCAGGAAAGGCUGGGACUAGAUUUUCUUUAAGAUCCAUUCCAACCCUUUAACAUUCUAUGAUAAUAUGCAUGCACUGAGCUUUGCAACCAAGAGCACCACCUACUCCUCAUCAAAACAUAUUCCUAUCACUGCUAAGGCACUGUAAGCAAGACAACAAAAGAGGGGUUGAGGUUCUGAAAAAAGAAAAUGUAGUCACUCUAGGAAACUUUUCAGGGGGGACAAGGGAUCCUAAUGCACUGGGGAGGGCAUCUGCAGAGAGUGUUUGA